GUCACACUUAGGACAGAUGAAGGAUAUAGACUGAAUACUUCUCCACCCUGCCCCCACACCGUGCUCUAGAAUCAGAAGCACUUCAGGAUGGAAGGGACAUCAUGUGUCAUCGGAUUCCACUCCGGCAUCACAAAGAUGAGGAAUCUAAGGAAUCUGGGACUCAGCGAGCUGGAGCAUGAAGGGACUAGUCAAGGGACAUCAGCCUAUUGCCGGAACAGGGAUCUCCAUUGGCCUAUGUUCCCAUCCCUCCCCCAUACAGCCCGCGUGUUCCAAGAGAUGCUUGCCAUCCUCUCUCUCUGACUGUCCAAACAUGGUCCCAUCAAGCCUGACAGAAUGACCAGAGCAGGAGCCCAGGUCUAAGACGACCAGCACACGAAACCCCCCAACCACAGGGAAUGUUUCAAGAAACGGGUAUGGAAUCCAAUUGGAAUCAUACGAGGAAAAGAUUGCUCCAUUUUUUUUUUGGAAAUAAGUUUCUCUACUUUUAAUCGAGACCCCCUGGAAGAGAUAGUUUCUCUUCUCCUGGAGGAUGGUGUAGCCAUUUUGUUACCAGGAGGAAAUGUAGCCAGCACAGAGAAAGGUGCAAUUAAGACAAAUGCAGAGAAAUAGAGACAGAAUCCACAGAUUCAGCUCACCUUGGAGACUGCCUUAUUUCUGCAACUUGCCCAUUAAUUUAAUUAUUCUUAAGCCA